rnacentral:rRNA from 1 species
CCUACGGGUGGCAGCAGUGGGGAAUAUUGCACAAUGGGGGAAACCCUGAUGCAGCGACGCCGCGUGAGUGAAGAAGUAUUUCGGUAUGUAAAGCUCUAUCAGCAGGGACGAGACAAGACGGUACCUGACUAAGAAGCCCCGGCUAACUACGUGCCAGCAGCCGCGGUAAUACGUAGGGGGCAAGCGUUAUCCGGAAUCACUGGGUGUAAAGGGAGCGUAGACGGCUGAGCAAGCCUGAAGUGAAAGGGGGGGGCCCAACCCCUGGACUGCUUUGGGAACUGUACGGCUGGAGUGCAGGAGAGGUAAGUGGAAUUCCUAGUGUAGCGGUGAAAUGCGUAGAUAUUAGGAGGAACACCAGUGGCGAAGGCGGCUUACUGGACUGUAACUGACGUUGAGGCUCGAAAGCGUGGGGAGCAAACAGGAUUAGAUACCCGUGUAGUC